rnacentral:rRNA from 1 species
UACGAGUGCCCCGAGCGUUAUCCGGAAUCAUUGGGCGUAAAGGGUGUGUAGGUGGUCUUGUUAGUCUUCUGUCAAAUUCUUCGGCUUAACCGGGGGUCCGCAGGGGAAACGGCAAGACUAGAGGAUGCGAGGGGUGAAUGGAACUCAUAGUGGAGGGGUGAAAUCCGUUGAUAUUAUGGGGAACACCAAAAGCGAAGGCAAUUCACUGGCGCACUUCCUGACACUGAAACACGAAAGCGUGGGUAGCGAAUGGG